rnacentral:rRNA from 1 species
AUUGAACGCUGGCGGCAUGCUUUACACAUGCAAGUCGAACGGUAACAGGGAGCUUGCUCCGCUGACGAGUGGCGAACGGGUGAGUAAUGCGUCGGAACGUACCGAGUAGUGGGGGAUAACGCAUCGAAAGGUGUGCUAAUACCGCAUACGAACUGAGGUUGAAAGUGGGGGACCUUCGGGCCUCACGCUAUUCGAGCGGCCGACGUCUGAUUAGCUAGUUGGUGAGGUAAAGGCUCACCAAGGCGACGAUCAGUAGCGGGUCUGAGAGGAUGAUCCGCCACACUGGGACUGAGACACGGCCCAGACUCCUACGGGAGGCAGCAGUGGGGAAUUUUGGACAAUGGGCGCAAGCCUGAUCCAGCCAUGCCGCGUGUCUGAAGAAGGCCUUCGGGUUGUAAAGGACUUUUGUCCGGGAGCAAAUACCCAGUGCUAAUAACGCUGGGGGCUGAGAGUACCGGAAGAAUAAGCACCGGCUAACUACGUGCCAGCAGCCGCCGUAACAC